CUCUCUCUCAUUUUCUCUCUUGCUCUUGGACAAAAGCUUGGCUAUGGGUAUGGGUUUUGAUAAUCAUUGAAAGGCAAAGCUUAAAGGUUACAUUUAAGCGGAUAAAACAAUUUUUUCAAGUGGUGCAUUGCAAGGCUUACCAUCACAAAUUUCCCUUCAAGCUGAUAAGACUAUGUUGUUGAUGUAGGUGUUGAGGGCUUAGAUGAAGACCAUGUGGCCUUGUACUUGGGCUAUUGUGGUUGAGAGUAGUUUAUGUUGGAGCUUAAUGCCGGGCUAUAACUUUAGUCCAUUCAUGUAUUAGCAUUUUUGUUAGUAUUCAGUUAUAAUAGUAUACUUAUGGUUUUUGUAUAGCCAUACUUUUGUUAUGUAAAAGAUACAAUGAUCAAGCUUUAAUCAUAUAGAGGUAUUAUUUGGCUC